UACGUAGGGGGCAAGCGUUGUCCGGAUUUAUUGGGCGUAAAGAGCGUGUAGGCGGCCUGAAAGGUCAGCUGUGAAAACUCGAGGCUCAACCUCGAGACGUCGGUUGAAACCAUCUGGCUAGAGUCCGGAAGAGGAGUGUGGAAUUCCUGGUGUAGCGGUGGAAUGCGCAGAUAUCAGGAGGAACACCCGUGGCGAAGGCGGCUCUCUGGGACGGUACUGACACUGAGACGCGAAAGCGUGGGGAGCGAACAGG
rnacentral:rRNA from 1 species